rnacentral:tRNA from 9 species
GCCGUCAUAGCUCAGUUGGUAGAGCACCGGCCUGAAAACCCGGUGGCCGAGGUUCGAGUCCUCGUGUCGGCAC